GUUUUUUAUACAGCUGAUUUUACUGUGUAAUUUUGAUCUUGAACUAUUGGCUUGAAAUAAAAUAUUUUACGGUAGAUGUUCAAUCAUUGAAGAUGAGUGAUUUGCCUCUCAUUUAGUUUUCUGCGGCAUUAAACGCGGUGCAUUUUACUUUGUCCGAAAAUGAUUGUAUCAAAGUUUGGAGUUUAAAAGCGCCACUCCACUGACUGAUAUCUGUAUCUCUGGAUCGUUUGAUCGGGAUGUUCCCAUUUUUGGCAUGAGGGCUCCUUGGGGGUUGGUGAAACGAGAUAAGCGGCAUUUUCCCUAGUGAUGCAUUCCACCCCAAGUUACACAGAGGCUGCCAGGCAUCCUGUUAAUGAGGAAAUUUUCAUUAAUGACAUGGAUCACUUGAUGAUGAACAGACACAAUCCUCUGUCCCCGCCUCCUCCAACACCAUCACCAACACCAUCACCAACCCCUCUGCUUAUGGACCUCCCCAUGAACGAUUCGCCUGAAAGUUUGAAAGAUACUCAAAAAGAAACUGAGGAAGAACAUGAGUGUCGGCAGAAAAUUCAAAAAAAACCAGAGCGAGAAAACAUUGUGUCUCUAGAAAAAGUUAUAGCAAAAGCGUGGGAACCCAUCCCUUUGGACAAUUGCAAUACGAAUCAGACUUUGGUAAAACGAAGAGUAUACAAGUUGGAUGCAAGUGAUUUGUCCAGUCCGAGAAAAAAGAAGAAUAGAGGAAAGACAGAUACAGAGUCAGAAACGUUUAUUGUGUCAGAAAUAUUCACAAAGGGUAAAUACUAUCUUAACAAAGGCCAUGGGUUCGAUCCAUGAGUUCUAGCGGAAUUCCCCGCGGUACAGAUGAAAAGACUGAAAGACGCUCCCAACAGGAAGAGAAAAAUAUUAGUAUUGUCACAAAAGGUUUGCUCUAUCACUCCAAGUAGAACACAAGCAGUUUUCGAUCAAGGUGUUAAUCCCUCUGCAUGUAUUCUACCUGUGUCUGCAGUUGUACCAUGUCUAAGUUUUUUCCUAUGUCGUCCACUUUUUGGAGGAGCCUCCAAGCUCAAUUUAGUUUGUCAUCAGAGGACUCUUGAAAUGCUGCUCCAAAACGUC